UGUAAUUGAUCUGUCAAAUCGUCUAACUUCUCAAUGUUUACGUUCGACGCUAAAACAACGGUCCGCGAAACCGUGUUUACAACGUUUACCGCGACGACGAAACGAACCAAGAUUGUGUUCGAUACCGAAAUGUUUCCGCGAUUUACAGGUGCGCGAUCGAAUUUUAAUCAUUUGCCGGUCUGCUUCCAUCGAACUGUUCGGAGGAUCGGCCCGACGAAGAACUUUCAGCGCGAAUGUUCAAUUAGGAUGUUUCCAAUUUCAGCAACAUUCGUGCUUUGUUUUCGCCCGCGUCCGGACGGAUGAAUGAUUCUACUUUGAUCGUUCACCGAAUAUGCUGCCUGCGAUGGGAAGUAAAAACCGCCAACUCGUUCUUCGAGUUGGUCCCGAUCGAGGGUGGGGAGGAUACAGCAGAGCACAUCAACAACCUGCCGUUGAGGCUGGGAAGUGUCCGCUCAAAACAGCCCAAAUUAAUUAAUUAUCCUCGGGAAUUAGACCCGAGAAAGUGAAGUGUAUUACUCUCGCUGAUUUAUUCAGGAGAAAAGUGAAUAAAGAAUUCUAUUUGUGUG